rnacentral:lncRNA from 1 species
UUGUCCUUGUGUUCAGAAUGCACAAUUCUUUGACGCAAUUCUGGAUAUGACAGCCACACGGAAUGCGUCAACAUAGCCAAAACCAGAAAGUAGGGGUCCUGCAAUGAAUAUAAAAGAAGCUUUAAUUUUAAACUUAAGUAAAUUAGGAUCCUGUUUCUUUUGAUCCUAAAUUAUAUCUUCAAUGAAGAAACGUGUUUGAUAUCAAAAUUGAAUUCUGCAAUGAAUGCAAAAGUACGGAACUGUGAUGGUGUCCAAGAGGGAUUGCGAAUGUCAAUCGCAGUGACUAAAGAUUUGUGGUCCGUGAAAACUUUAAAAACUUCUCCCUCCAAAGCCCAUCGAAAAUGUUUGAUGCUUUCCUUUCACUUAACAAUUACCUAUCAAACGUAGAAUAUUUCUGUUUUGUCGUUGAAAGAGCCCGAGACCAAAAAGCUAGAGGUUACCAGUUUCCAGUUACCUUUUGCUCGAGAACAGCUCCCAUCCCUGUAUCAGAUGCAUCAGUCGUCAGGGCUAAAGGCAAUGAACUAUCUCUGAAUGCUAGUCGAGUACUUUUUGACAAACUAUUUUUAAUAAAUUGAAAGGGGUGUUCAUGUUCUGUAUUCCAAUGAAAAAAUGUAAAAGUCUUGUUCUAGAAAAACUCUCCCUAUUAUUGAAUAUGGAGGAGUCCUCAUUGAUGUUAUUGGUACAACAACUUUAACUCUCAAUCUAGAAAAUCUAGGAGAUUUCCAAUGAAAAUUUAUUGUGGAACAAAGUGGUCGUCCAAUUUUGGGUGCUGAUUUUGUAUAUAAUUUCAGAUUUAGAAUAGAUAUUUUCAAUAAAAAGUUAUUCCGAGAUUAACCAUGCUUCAUUACAAAACUAUUGAAGACUCAAGAAAUCCAAUCGAAAUAUAAUGAUGUUUUUGAUAAUAAAAGUUUCAUUGAAACUUAUUCAGCACACGGAGUUGAACACCGUAUUGAGACGAAAGGCCCUCCUUGCGAAAUCACGCAAGUUAGAUGGUGAGAAUUUCAAUUUUAAACUUGAUUAAAUCAACGAAUUGUCGAAGAAAGGAAUCCUACGAUCGUCUUGUUCUAAUUCUCCUACAUAUAUUAUGUCAAAAAAUCUGUCUUUGAAAUGAAGGGAACAUAAUGUAAGUUUCUUUUGAGAAUUAACUAAUUUUACAUUUGAAAAAUAUUAGAACAAAUAGAUGUAUGAUACUUUUUGAAUUUAUUCAAAAAAAUAUUUGUAAUUUAUAUAUUUUUAAAUCAAAUAAUUUGUACUUGUUAGUUACCAUACUGUUGUCAUAUAUAGUUCAUAAUUUAAUGAUAAUAUAACGGAACUUUAUCAACUCAA